UGGUGCCAUUGCACUCCAGCCUGGGCAACAAGAGCGAAACUCCGUCUCAGAAAGAAAAAAAAAGAAAGAAAAGAAACGCAGAACUCUUUACUGGCCUCAAAACGUACUGUGACAUUUCCAUAACCUACAGGUCUAGAAAUCCUGUGCCAAAUAUGGUUAACUUGUUUGCUGAGAAGGAUGUGGAAGAACUGGAACCUUCAUACACAGCUGAUGGGAAAACAGUCUGGAACUUUCUUAAAACAUUCUGGGGCGUUCCUUUUGGCAAAACGAGCAGGCAGUGUGAGCAGCCAGUCAUCAGAGAGAAAGCCCAUCUUUCUAAGCCAGAGGAUGAGGAAAAGGGGCCCCCAGGUGCCAGGGAGUCUGGGGGGAAAUCCUGAAGAGCAAAGACCUGAAAAGAGGAUUCUCUAAUUCUGUACAUGAGCUGAAUUCCGUGCUCAGCCCAGAGCUGCACAUACCAGAGGCAGAGCCCAAGCAACACAGCCACACUCUGAACUGACACUCGGACCACCACCACCAAACAGAAGGCAACGCAGGACCUGCGGACUAAGGCUAACGAGGCUGAUUGCCUGACAAAACAGGAAAAAAAAGAAACAUUCUUCAGGGAAUUUUAGUAGAACACAGAGUCUCCCAACAUAAAACAGACAGUCCUCACUGCACAGCAGUUCAGAACUGUAAAAAUGAACUUCCAACCUGAAAUUGCCAUAUGCUGUUCAUAAUCAUUAAUGGGUAAAAUUGUGAUUUCUUCCUGUCUUUUGAAAAUUGUCAAAACAUCGAUAAUCUUGUACUAUUAGAAAUGUAUAAGGAAACAAAGUAAAUAUUUUUGUACACUGUAAUUUAAAACAUUAGCAACACUGGGAAUUAAAGUGUUUGAUGUCUUCCUAAAAAACCAUCAAGAGACAUUUAAACAGUGCUUGCCUUCUUCAAAAGUCAUGUACCUUAUGAUAUGGAGCAAGCACCUUUUCUGUGUUUCAAAAACUUGUCAUGCUCCUUCUAAGUUUGGAUCAGCUUCCAAUAUUUUAUCCUUUCUGCUUUCAAUGUCAUGAAAUAUCUCCAAGUCCCUUUAACGUGAAGGUUUUUGCUGACGUUCCUUCAUCUGGGACAUCUUCAUCCUU